rnacentral:rRNA from 1 species
UACAGAGGUCUCAAGCGUUGUUCGGAUUCAUUGGGCGUAAAGGGUGCGUAGGCGGCGCGGUAAGUCGGGGGGUGAAAUCUCGGGAGCUUAACUCCGAAACUGCAUUCGAUACUGCCGUGCUUGAGGACUGGAGAGGAGACUGGAAUUUACGGUGUAGCGGUGAAAUGCGUAGAUAUCGUAAGGAAGACCAGUGGCGAAGGCGGGUCUCUGGACAGUUCCUGACGCUGAGGCACGAAGGUCAGGGGAGCAAACGGG